rnacentral:pre_miRNA from 1 species
AUCAGGAAGAGGAAAAAAUGAGCAUCUAAGAGCAUUGAGCUUGGGAACAUGGAGGAAGGCCUAAACUAGUGUGUCCCUAUCCAACUAGGGUCCAACAUAUCUUUUGGAAUUUUCCCAAUGCCUCCCAUGCCUAUUGUUCUUACGUGUUCCUUCCUCUCCCUUAUGACC